rnacentral:lncRNA from 1 species
AUUAUGUUCCAUUUUGGCUGAUUUUUAAUUUUAAAGUCUUAAAAUUGUAUAAUGAUUUUUUAAUUUUUAGAGGUUUUGGAUUUGAAUUCAGCACAUUUUAAGAAAUAGAUAUCUUUUGUGAUGUGACACUUCACUUAGUAAUUACUAGAAAUACAAAACUAAUUACUAAUUACAAAACUAAUUUUUACUGUUGUUGAUAUGGUCAUAUAAACAUAAUUAAAAAUUGUUAAUUUCUAAGAUGAUCUAAUGCUUUCUAUUUCCGAAAACUUUCUACCCAGAAAAAUUAACAAUGGAACUCCCUAAAUUUUUGUUCACCACAAAUGCUACUAGGUAGGACGUUACUGUGUCGGGUUUGGGCUGUUAAAAAUCAAAUGAAUUGAGUAAGACAAAAGUGCCAUAAUAAUAUGCAGAAGCUAUGAUGCUAGCUAGAAGUGACAAGGCCGGAACCAGAGUGGCAGUUUUUGCCAUUUUGCUCUUCCAAAAAAAAGCUCUGCUGCUAAUACCACAAUUCAACAAUUAGCAUUUGUUGUGGCAAACCAGACUGCAUUUUGCUCUCUACCCAAAUUGCAGCAUUCCUGCACCUCAUUAAAACAAACAAUAUACCCAUAUUGUAGCACAUCUGUUUCUUCUUGUUCCUUUCAUCUCUCUCGAUAUAUAGAGUCAAACCAACCUCGUUACUGCAAUUAUGGUGGACCGAUAAAACUAUACAUUAUUUAUCACAUGAUUAGUAAGAAACUAGAAAAUUAAAUUUAAGACUAAUCUUUAGAUGUAGUGCAUGAAAUUUUCAACAAUUCAUAUACGAGGAUUGUCUAAACUAAAUUAAUACAUGGUAUCAUGGAAUAAGACAUUACUUUUCACCAAUACCUCAAAUCUCCAUAAUGAAUAUGCUAUGCUCUAAAAACAUGCAUGGUUUUCAUAUGAAACCAAAUCUUUCAGAUAUUUCCAAAGGGAAGAGGCAUGUUAGGAAUGGUUGAAUAAAAGUAAUUUGCAAUAUAAAAUUCCCUUUCAUAAUUUAGAGAUUAGGUCCAACUGACCAAAUUCUAAUAUCCAUAAAAUUGAGUGAUUAAUCGAGUGAUUUAUCAAAAUACUAUCUUUUCGAUCCUAAAUUCCACUACAUUUCCGCUAGCGCCCCCAACCAACUUGGAUUCAGAGCUAAAGCUACGUCGGUAUGCUAUGUGGUUGCGGUUUUAAUGAAUGAUCUUCCACAUCAAAAAAGUUACACUUUAGUACUUUGAUAACCAUAUUAUAACCUACCCUCACAAAACCCUCUCAAAACCUCUACCAAAAGAAUCCCCUCAAAAUCCUAUAGUAGCACCGUCGUCAAGUUCCAUGUUCGCCAACUCUCCAAAUCAAAUCCCAAUUUUCGAUGGAGAAUUGUAUGAAUAUUGGAAAGCACAAAUGGACUAUCUUCAUUUUGCAAGACUUGUGAGAUAUUGUUCAAGAAGGCAUCGAACAAUCACCACAAGAGAACGAUUCCACAUCAACCGGAAAAAGACGGAAUCGGCGAAAGAUGACGAUCCCAAAAAAGCGGGACGAAGACGAAGGACCAUAAGGAGAAUGUCAAUAGGAACGCCAGCGCAUUGAGGAUAAUUCAGCAAGCUGUGAGCAAAACAAUAUUUCCGAUAAUUUUUUGCAUCAAAUCAGCCAAGGAAGCUUGGGAAGUCCUGAAGAACGAAUUUCAAGGUUCCGAGAAGGCAAUUGGGCAUCAAAUCAGCCAAAGAAGCUUGAGAAGUCCUGAAGAACAAAUUUCAAAGUUCCGAGAAGGCAAUUUCCAUAAAACGCCAAAAUCUAUGGCGUCAAUUUGACAACUUAACGAUGAAAGAAGGCGAAAGCAUCAAAGACCUUCAUUCUCGUGUUGAAAGAUAGUGAACCAGAUCAAAGUUACUAGUGAGACUAUCGACGAGAAGAAGAUCGUGGAGAGGAUCCUCCGCAGCCUAACAUCAAAGUUCGAGCAUGUCGUCGCUGUCAUAGAAGAAACCAAAGAUCUUGGAAAAUUACCAAUAACAGAGCUUAUGGGAUCACUUGUAACUCACGAUAAGAGAUUGAUCCGGUUUACCAACCAACAACUCGAGCAAACUUUUCAAUCCAAGGUCGACAUCAAAGGAGAGCAGAACCGUAGAGGGGGCAACUUCAAAAGAAGGAGGAAUAUCGAAUUUCAAGAAAAACAGCAACUAGAGCCAGUAUCAGGAGAAAUCAAGCAACUCCAAGACGGAUGCAAAAUUUGUAAAAAUCUAACCAUGCUACCAAAGAAUGCAGGUUCAGGUGCACCAAGUGUAAAAUUCAAAAUCACUCUCAACGAGAUUGCCGGUUCCAAAACAAGAAAGAACAAGGCGAAUCAAGCUUCGCACAGAAGGACGAAGAAAAACUGGUCGCUUACACUUGCUUCAAAGCCGAGCAAAAAUCAUAACUUCCAUGGGUGGUGGACAACGGUUGCAGUAAUCACAUAACUGGAGAUCGGGAGUCCUUCACCAAGAGGGAUGAUACAUAUAAGUCCCACGUAAAGAUUGGAGACGGUAAAAAGCUGGAAGUUGAAGGAAAGGGUACCAUCAUCGUACAAAAAAAGGGAGAUAACAAAACUCUAAUCCAAGAAAUUUUAUAUGUUCCUGAAUUAGCUCAAAUUUUAUACGUUCCUGAAUUAGCUCAAAAUCUUCUGAGUAUUGGAUAACUAAUGCUUAAAAUUUACAAGCUAUUGUUUGAUAACAGAGAAUAUGAGAUUAUCAACAAAGCCAACAACUCGAAAGUGGCAAAAAUCCUGAUGACUUUUAACAGGAUGUUUCCUUUUGCAAUGUCGAAGAAUGAAGAAUUAGCAAUGAAGAGCCAAAUCAUGGAUGAAUCUUUCCUAUGACAUCUUCGAUAUGAACACCUAAAACAGAAAUGCCUCAAAUUAUUGAAGCAUAAAAAUAUGGUGGUUGGUCUUCCCCAAAUCAACAGAGAAGAUAAAGUCUGUGAAUGAUGCAUAUAUGACAAAAUGCAUCGCUUGCCAUUUCCAAAAAUCACUUGGAGAGCAGAAACACCACUACAGUUGGUACACGUUGAUAUUUGUGGACCAACCAGAACAACAUCCAUAGGUGGUAAGAGAGACUUUCUACUAUUUAUGGAUGCUUAUACUAGAAUGAUGCGGGUAUUCUUUCUUGUGCAAAAGUCAGAAGCUUUCUCCAAAUUCCUUCAAUUCAAAGCAGCAGCUGAGAAGGAAAUAGGUGGUAAGAGAUACUUUCUACUAUUUAUGGAUGAUCAUACUAGAAUGAUGUGGGUAUUCUUUCUUGAGCAAAAGUCAGAAGCUUUCUUCAAGUUCCUUCAAUUCAAAGCAGCAGCUGAGAAGGAAAGCAGACAUCAAAUCAAGACACUCUGAACAGAUCGUGGUGGAGAAUUCAUCUACAAACCUUUUAUGGAGCACCAACAAAAUCAAGAGGCAGUUGACAGUGCAUUACACACCACAACAAAAUGGCGUAGCAGAACGAAAGAACCAUACAAUUGGGAAGAUGUCAAGAAACAUGAUGACUGUUAAGAAAAUUCCCAACCAACUAUGGGCAGAAGCGGUAAAUACAACAAUUUAUAUCCUCAACAGAUCGCUAACCAAAGCAGUGAAGAACAAAACACCUNNNNNNNNNNNNNNNNNNNNNNNNNNNNNNNNNNNNNNNNNNNNNNNNNNNNNNNNNNNNNNNNNNNNNNNNNNNNNNNNNNNNNNNNNNNNNNNNNNNNNNNNNNNNNNNNNNNNNNNNNNNNNNNNNNNNNNNNNNUAGUGACGAAUCCAAAGGUUAUAGACUCUAUAAUCCAAUGAAGAACGAGGUGGCGAUUUAACGGGACGUUAUCUUCGACGAAAUGGUCGAGUGGAGCUGGGAAACUCAAGAUACUCAACCUCCAUCAACAAAUGCAAUCCUGGAGAAUCCAACAACUAUACCAACAACACAAAAUGAGGCGGAUCAAAAUACAAUCCAAUGAAGAACGAGGUGGCGAUUUCACGAGAUGUUAUCUUCGACGAAAUGGUCGAGUGGAGCUGGAAAAUUCAGGAUACUCAACCUCCAUCAACAAAUGCAAUCCUGGAGAAUCCAACAACUAUACCAACAACACAAAAUGAGGCGGAUCAAAAUCCAAGCCAAGGAAUAAGUCCAACGAGAGAUAACUUCAGAGACGUCGUGAUAGAUUCAGAUUCACCUCCAUUGAAGGUUAGAUCCUUAAGAGAAAUUUAUGAAUCAAGUCACAUAGCAUAUUUUUCUUAUGAAUCCUAUAUAUUUGAUGAAGCAGCAAAAGACAAAGUCUGGAGAGAAACAAUAGACAUGGAGAUCUCAAUGAUCGAGAAGAACAAGACUUGGGAGCUCGUGGAAAAACCUAAAGACAGGCCGGUCAUAGGUCUAAAAUGGAUCUACAAUACCAAAUUUAACGAAGACGGUUCCAUCCAGAAGCACAAAUAAAGCGAGAUUGGUGGCAAAAGGCUAUUCAUAAUAGCCUAACAUCUACUUUCAUGAAACCUACGCACCGGUAGCACGGACGGAGACAAUCAGAACUGUCAUAGCACUAGCAUCUCAAAUGGAGUUACCAAUAUUCCAGCUAGACGUCAAGUCAGCAUUCCUCAAUGGAACACUAGAAGAAGAAGUCUAUGUGGAACAACCAUGAGGAGACGAGAAGAAAGGAGAAGAAGACAAAGUCUAUCGACUCAAAAAGGCGCUCUCUGGACUCAAAGAAGCACCACGAGUGUGGAACAGCAGAAUUGAUCCAUACUUUCAAGACAACAGAUUCCAAAGAAGUCCAAGUGAAGCAUCUCUUUACAUCAAAAAGGGAGAAGACAAAAACUUUCUUAUUUUGUGCUUAUAAUGGAAGUCCACAAAUUAUUGAAGAAUUCAAAAGGACAAUGAUGUUAGAGUUCAAAAUGACAGACUUGGGACUCAUGAAGUAUUUCUUGGGAAUUCAAGUAAAGUAUAAACCUGAAGAAAUUUUCAUCUCUCAAGAGAAGUAUACUGAAGACAUGUUAAAGAGAUUUCACAUGGCAUUGUGCAAGCCCAUAGAGACACCAAUGAUGUUGAACGAGAAACGGCAACAAAAUGAUGGAGCAGAAAAAGUUGACGGAAAAAUCUACAGAAGGCUAGUCGGAUCGCUCAUAUAUCUGACACAUAUAAGACCAGAUAUCUGUCACUCAGUAAGUCUCAUUUCAAGAUUUAUGAAUGAGUCUAGCAAACUUCAUUUUGUAGCAGCAAAGGUUGCAAUAAGGUGAUAAUGACCCAACCAUUAUUUACUAUGACAACAUGUCAACCAUAGCCAUGACGAAAAAUCCAGUAUUUCACGCAAGGUCGAAGCAUAUCGAGUUACGACAUCAUUUCAUACGAGAUCUAGUCAACAACGGAGAAAUCACAAUGGAAUUCAUCAACACCGAUGAUCAACCAGUAGAUAUCAUGACGAAGGCAGUUACGAAGGAAAAACUCAAGAAGUUCAAACACCUACUUCAAAUUGAAAAUUAAGAGGUGGUGUUGAAUAAAGGUAAUUUGCAAUAUGGAAUUACCUUUAACAAUCUAGAGAUUUCCUACUCUAGAAAUCUCUCUAAAAAUAUCUAAAUUCCAACUACUCAUAAUAACUAAACUAAUAAUCCUAGCCACACACGAAACCUACCAAGCGUGCUAGUAUCUUCCUAAGGAGGUUGUAUUAUCCUAUAAAUAUGAAGCCUCACUUUAGGCAAGUGUGAAGUGUAGAGAAACAAAACAAAUAAGAAAGAAAAAGUAGAGAGUGUUCAUGAGGAGGAGUUUGAAAGGUCCAAGUGACCAAAUUGUAAUGUACAUAAAAUUGAGUGAUUAAUCGAAUGAAUUAUCAAAAUUGUAUCUUUUCGAUCCUAAAUUCCAUUACAUUUCCAUUAGCGCUCCAACACCAAUGCACCUUACGGACCAUGAAUAACAAAACAUAAGAAACAAAAUAAAACAAGUAGAAAUACAAACCUCACAAAAAUAUUAUCUUCUCCUUGUGAGAUGGUGGUGGGACCAAACCAAAGCCUCAACUCAAGCAUCACCUUGCUUGCUUGUGGUGUACUGCAGCUAGGAUGGUGAGAACUUCAUACACAAUAACAUCUACAUACCCAUACUUCAUACCCAUACACAUACCCCUCCAAAGUUUCCACACGUGGCCAGCCCAGCACAUAGUACUGUGUUAAAGUUAGCAAAGUCUUUUAGCAGAACUUCCUUGUGUCAUUUUUAUCCUUUGUACAAUUUUGGAAAUUACUAACACCAACUCUAUCAGUAGCAACCAUAGGUCACGGGCAUCCUUAACAUUCUACCCCCCUGCUGCUGCUGCCAAUGAUUUACGUAGUAGUGCUAGUCCACAACUCAAUUCAAAUCGAAUUGAAUCAGUUUGGUUGAUCCAAAUC